GAUAUCAUGGGAUGCCUCUUUCGAAGGGAGGAGGUGUGUCUGGUCUAGCUCUUCAGUUUGAUGGAUACACUACUGUUCAGAAGCUUGGGGUCAGUAAGAUUUGUUUUGUUUUUAAAUUAAUACAUCAAAAGUGAGAGAUAAGAAUUUUACAUUGCUAUAAACUACUGUAUGUUCUUUUGAACUUUCUAUUAAUCAAAGUAUCCUGAUUUUCAAUUUCUAUAAUCCCAUUUAUAAAUGAAUAAUAUAAAUUGAGAAUCUCUGUUUUCUCCACACACAUACCUUCGUGUACCCUUAGGGUUUGGAGGAGAGAGAUGGAAUACUUCAAGGGGUAGGAAAGCAGGAUAGUGGAUGCCACAGUGGAAGAUACGUGUGCAGAAGUGUAAAGCUGUGCAGAUGGUCCUUAACCUUUGUAGCCCUUCAGUUACAGACAAGUGUCUCAUCGCAGAUGCCUGAACUUCCCCUGCUGCAGAGCGCUCUGAUAGAAGGAAUGAUUAGAUAAGACUAUUUAAUAAACUGUUUCACAAAAAAAAUGUCACAAAGUCAAGUGUGAUUUUCAAGUAUUGAAGUAUAGAGGGUGAGGGCUAGAAAUGCAAGAAGUUUCUUCUUUUCUCAUUUAGCUACAGCAGGAUUCGGAGAAGUGAAUUUUGCAAUGGAGUAUUGUUUUUUUUGUCCUUUCUGUUUUUUAGAGAAAGAGUGGUAGCAGUGUGGACUACCUGCACCCACAUCUCCCCUUCAACACUCUUUAGCACCAACAUAUUCACUUCCAGCUUCCAGAACAUUGUGGAUGCUUAUGGUGUGGCAUGUUACAGAGAGGUUAAUCCAGAUUUGGCAUAUGCUGUUUGGUGGGAGAUAUCUGAUUCUUCUGAUGGGGUUGUUCUCCAUUUAUACUGGUGCUGUUUAUAAUGAGUGCUUCAGUAAAGGACUCAAACCCAUGAUGCAGCCCUACAACUGGAGGUACAUGCACAAUAUUACAGCCAAGGCAAAGAUUAGUGUUCAUGCUGUGUCUUUUUGGGUAUUAGUAAAUAAUUACAUUUUUGAAUAUAAAUUUGAACUGAAAUCAUAAAAGUGUCACAAACCAUAACAAUGUGCCCAACAUAGUUGACAGUCAAUAUACUCAAUGAAAAUAGGUUAUUGUAGAUUGUAGAAAAUACUGGGAAAAAAAAUAAGAGGCCUUUUACAAUAAUGUGUUCAAAAUGUUCAACACAGAAGAAAAUAACAUCACAUGAUGCUGGUUGCAUGUUGUAAUGAACCAUUUUUAGGGGCAAAGGGUUGUUCAUUAAGUAACACAGUGAACAGAACUUUUGUAAAUGAUUCAUAUUUUCAAUAUUUUUAAUUUAAACUCAAUAAUUUUUUUUCUAAAGCAUUUAGGUUUUAGAAAUGAAUUGAAUAUUUAAUUUAAUGCUCACAUCUCAGCUUGUCUAACAGACUUUUCUUGCUGGAUGAAGGCCCAUCACCUUCAACUCAACCUUACCAAGAGAGAACUGCUUGUUUCAUCACAAUUUCACCAUUCAGUUAGGCACAUCAACCAUAACUCCUUCAAAAACAGCCGAAAACCUUGGAGUUAUGAUUGAUGAUCAGCUGACUUUAUCAGACCACAUUGCUAAAACUGUCCAGUCCUGCAGAUUUGCUUUAUUCAACAUUAAGAUCAGGCCCUUUCUUUUCGGAACAUGCUACACAACUCCUUGUUCAAGCUCUUGUUCUGUCCAGGCUGGACUAUUGCAAUACUCUCUUGGCAGGUCUUCCAGACAGUUCUAUCAAACAUUUACAAUUAAUCCAGAACGUGGCAGCAAGAUUGGUUUUUAACAAGCCAAAAAGAAUGCACGUCACACCUCAGUUUAUCAAUUUGCAAUUACCACAAUAGCUGCUCGCAUAAAAAUCAAGGCAUUGAUGUUUGCCUACAAAACCACCACUGGCUCUGCACCCCUUUACCUAAAUUCAUUACUUCAGACUUAUCUGCCCUCUAGAAGCUUGCAUUCUGCAAGUGAACGUCACUUUAUUGUGACAUCUCAAAGAAAUGGUCACAAAAUCACAGUAAAAGGCGGUACUAAAGUAUGAUUUUGUGGUGGAUGUGUUAAAAUUUUAUCAUCUUAAUUCAAGUGAUGAAGGAUUUGGAAAGUCUGACAGUGUUGAGCACUACUGUAAGGUUAAAGGUGUAAAUGUUUGAAAAUGACUAACAGUUGAAAAUAAACAUUCAUUAGAAAUUUAGAAAAGUAAUCA
ensembl:lncRNA